GACGAACGCUGGCGGCGUGCUUAACACAUGCAAGUCGAACGGAAAGGCCCUGCUUUUGUGGGGUGCUCGAGUGGCGAACGGGUGAGUAACACGUGAGUAACCUGCCCUUGACUUUGGGAUAACUUCAGGAAACUGGGGCUAAUAUCGGAUAUGAGCUCCUGCUGCAUGGUGUGGGUUGGAAAGUUUCGGCGGUUGGGGAUGGACUCGCGGCUUAUCAGCUUGUUGGUGGGGUAGUGGCUUACCAAGGCUUUGACGGGUAGCCGGCCUGAGAGGGUGACCGGCCACAUUGGGACUGAGAUACGGACCAGAAUCCUACGGGAGGCAGCAGGGGGGAAUAUUGCACAAUGGGCGGAAGCCUGAGGCAGAAACGCCGCGUGCGGGAUGACGGCCUUCGGGUUGUAAACCGCUGUCGCCGGUGACGAAGAGUGAGUGACGGUAAUGGGUAAAGAAGCACCGGCUAACUACGUG
rnacentral:rRNA from 1 species